ACUACAAUGGCUUAAAACAGCAUUGAAAAUUAAACAUUAAAAACGUAAAAGUAAACAAAACUUGGACGAUGAUGAUAAAUGGACAAUGGACAUAAAACUGCGAUAAAGAUGAAAAAGGAGAAACGAAACAACAUACAUAUAAAUCAACAAGGUAAAAACCGUCAUUUGGUAGUUAAAGAAAAAAGAAGACUACACAACUCUACAAAAGAUAUCUGUUUGUAAUUUAUUAUAGAGCUGGAGAACAUGCAUCAUUUGUUUUAGAAAUAUACGAAUGAAUACAAAACAA